rnacentral:tmRNA from 1 species
GGGGAUGACAGGCUUCGACGGGGAAGGCUGGUCACGGAUUGCAGGCCGAGGUGCCCUAACCUCGUUAAACCAGGGCAAGGCCAAUAAGUGCCAACACACGACGACCGGCGCUCGCCCUGGCUGCGUAGUCAGUCAGAAACGCGCCACCUGGUCGCUUGCGAGCGACCACGCUCUCCCUAACCUCCCCCCGACGGGUUAGGUUUGAGCGCCAGAGUAGCCGGGGUGCGAUUCUCCCGAAGUCGGUGAGGAGAAUCUAAGAGGGAGCGAGAGCUCCCACCGACUGGCCCGCUGCGGGCUUUGUCGGCUGAGCUACCAGCGGGCGAGAACUCAUCAACCGACUAAGCCUGUAGUAUAUCCGUGAUCGAAUUCUUCGGACGCGGGUUCGAUUCCCGCCAUCUCCACCA